CGGCCAUGAUGAGUACAUAGUGUCAUCAUAUCCUUGUAUCAUUCCCAAGCUUCAAAAAGUGAUUCUCCCUUUGUCUGUCUGAAUGUGGUUAUGUGAUUUCUUACACU